rnacentral:rRNA from 1 species
GCAUGCGGAUUAAUUCGAUGCAACGCGAAGAACCUUACCAAGGCUUGACAUGUUCGAUCGCCGUAGAGAUACGGUUUCCCUUUGGGGGUUCACAGGUGGUGCAUGGUUGUCGUCAGCUCGUGUCGUGAGAUGUUGGGUUAAGUCCCGCAACGAGCGCAACCCUCGUUCCAUGUUGCCAGCACGUAAGUGGGGACUCAUGGGAGACUGCCGGGGUCAACUCGGAGGAAGGUGAGGACGACGUCAAAUCAUCAUGCCCCUUAUGUCUUGGGCUUCACGCAUGCUACAAUGGCCGGUACAAUGGGUUAAUCCCAAAAAGCCGGUCUCAGUUCGGAUUGGGGUCUGCAACUCGACCCCAUGAAGUCGGAGUCGCUAGUAAUCGCAGAUCAGCACGCUGCGGUGAAUACGUUCCCGGGCCUUGUACACACCGCCCGUCAAGUCACGAAAGUNGGUAACACCCGAAGCCGGUGGCCUAACC